AUGCUCAGGUCUCGUCCAUAUCCAAUGCCAAGUUUUUCUGUUAAGAUGCUUAAGAGGUACAAUUUCUGCUCUACAUGGAAUUCUUUUGGAGUUGAAUUGCAGUGUGAUCUGCUGAGGACUACAACACCAUUGCCAUUCCAUUAUUCUACUAAGGUUUGGUAUAAUGCUGGCAUGACACUGAAGGUAAAUUGCUCUUGUCUUGCAAUGUUAUUCACUUGGACUUCUCAGGGAGCACAGAUGGACAGGAAAACUGUUUUGGUGGUACAGUCUGACUUCCAGUUUUGCAUUCUGGGAAAUGGCAGCAUGCAAGUCUGUGUUGGCGAGCUAGUGAUUGCUGGUUUCUUGCAAGACAGGAUUACCUCAUAUCUCAGUUAUAGGUCUCUAAAAAAUUUCAAUGCACAAUUUCACUAA
rnacentral:rRNA from 1 species